rnacentral:miRNA from 10 species
GUCGGCUCUGCACUGCUUGCUCCAGAGACAGGGGACUUGUGGGCGGCGCUGGGGCAGCGGGCUCCUGGGGGCUCCCCAGGCAGCGCGGGGCUGGUGAGGCACCUGGAGGAGUAUGCAG